rnacentral:rRNA from 1 species
AUUGAACGCUGGCGGCAGGCUUAACACAUGCAAGUCGAGCGGGGUGAUGGUGCUUGCACUAUCACUUAGCGGCGGACGGGUGAGUAAUGCUUAGGAAUCUGCCUAUUAGUGGGGGACAACAUCUCGAAAGGGAUGCUAAUACCGCAUACGUCCUACGGGAGAAAGCAGGGGAUCACUUGUGACCUUGCGCUAAUAGAUGAGCCUAAGUCGGAUUAGCUAGUUGGUGGGGUAAAGGCCUACCAAGGCGACGAUCUGUAGCGGGUCUGAGAGGAUGAUCCGCAACACUGGGACUGGGAAACGGCCCAGACUACUACGGGAGGCAGCAGUGGGGAAUAUUGGACAAUGGGGGGAACCCUGAUCCAGCCAUGCCGCGUGUGUGAAGAAGGCCUUAUGGUUGUAAAGCACUUUAAGCGAGGAGGAGGCUCUUUUGGUUAAUACCCAAGAUGAGUGGACGUUACUCGCAGAAUAAGCACCGGCUAACUCUGUGCCAGCAGCCGCCGUAA